UGCAGCGAGCGUUCACAGAAACAUUUAAGUUCCUCUUUUAAGAAGAGAAAUCCAACGUCUCCAUCACUCCUUCUCUGGCAAUGAUCCUGAUGCUCCACCCUUUUCUUCCUUCCCUGGUUUACUGCCCCUCGUUCUGCACAACCAUCACAUUCCUUCCACCCUCCUUCAUCCUGGUUUCUAAAACCGCAAACAAUCUCUCGCUUAGUGACGUUUUAAACGGAAGGAGCACUUGAGCAAGUUGAGACAAGGAUGAGUGCUUGGGUGGUCGAGCUGCACUGCUCCAGUGGAAGAGAUCGUGGUUCGCUUACUGCAGUCGUGCUUCUGAAGCCACACGUGAUCUGAAGAACACAGUCGUGAACAGUACUCCCGACUUUUCCCAGCACGUACCUACGAGAAUCCACAAGCAUUCUUGACUUUCCCAGCACGUAUCGCAUCCUGUCGAAAAUGGGUGCUACAUUUUCCUUGGGUGCUGCAAAGUUGACGCAGAGGAAUAUCAAGGAGGACACCAGAGGAGUUCUCAAUGAACUGAGGAAAGUGAGCAUUGAGCAAAUACAAAUCAUCAAGAAGCAUCGACACCAAGAUUCGUUUCAACAAUUGAAAUGUGAUUUAAAAGGUUUUACAAAUGUAAACAAGGAUUUAGGCAAACAGGCGAGGCAGCACAAAUCGUUCGAAGACCACCUGGGUAGAAGACAACAUGAAGUUCAGGAGGACCUCCAUUCGUGGAAAUUUUGGCUAUCUACUAAAUACCUGCAAGAUAGUUUGGCCAAGGUCGAAAAGAUGAAAAACGAUGUCUCUGAAGAUAGAGAUAUCCUAAUAAAGCUGCAGGCUCACCUUCAUGAGGUUCAGGAACGAGCAGAGCGCUUAAGAGAGAACAGCGCGCUCGAUAUCAAUUUGAAAAACAUGAUUCAGCAUCACAAUGACAUGAUCACACUUGUGGAAACGUACUGUGACGAGUAAGGGUUGUGGCGUGUAAUUUGUGCAUUAACAACUGUAACACACAAAGAUAUAGUCAAUAAAACUUGCUGUGCCAAAAUGUAUGUAUCUUUUUUCGCCACUAAAUAAGGUGCAAGUUAGGACCGUCCAAAGCUUUUGUUGAUAUGUUACCAUGACAAUAAAUAUUGCUUAUCAAAGUCGAGCUGUAUACAUACCGGUAGAAUGCAUUUCUGCUCUUUGGAAGGAAACAGACUCUUGGAAGAGAUCGUUCAUUCAUUUCAUGUACAGCUUAUGAUGGUCCAGAAGCUGGCCCUGGUGAUGGGAGGUGUGAUGCCAGCUAUCGAUGUCGCCUCCAGCUAAUGGGUGACGCGUCAACACAAGUCAGUAAAUAGCGGUGCCCAUUUUAAGGUGGUAGGGGACUGACAAGAUCCACGUGGAUCCGUUGAAACGCCUCCCUGGUGUUGAAAAGCGAUCAAGUGGUGCGACAGUAUGACGUUGGAUCUUGGAGCGUUGACAUUGAAGAAAUUGUUUGGACCAACGGCACACGUUGGCGUUGAUCUGUGGCCAGACGUAGCGCAUGGUGAUGAGUCGCUGGGUUGCUCAAAUACCCAGGUGUGCAAGUGAGUGAAGUGUCGAAGACCGUACGACGGAAUGCCCCAGGUACAAAAGGGCGUGACACAUGAGGGUAGUGUUUGUCCCUUGGAGUGAUACUUCACAAAAUGUAAGUGAACCUGCUGCAGACUGUAGACGAUGGAGCUCUGUGUCCUCCUGUUGUGCUGCUGCAUGUGCAUUAAAAUCGAUGGCCAGUGUGUUGGUAGCAGACAACGCCAAUAUCUUGAUGUGUGAGAGAAGGUCGGCCACCAAGUUCGUGAUUCCUUUGAUGUUCCGGAUGGCGGUGGUGAAUUGAGAGAUAUAACCGAGUUGGCGAAGUUUGCGAGGAGAG
rnacentral:lncRNA from 1 species